GUUUGAAGAGAAGAGAAAAGAGAGGGAAAAGCUAGGGCAUGAGGAAGAAGAAGAAGAAGAAGAGAAGGAGAAGUUGGAGACCUAGGAGAUGAAGGAAGCUUAGGGAUGGAUUCCCCAUAUGAGGUUCUUUGAGAGGCUCGUGCUAGAGGACCGUGCUCGCGGCUUUGGUGCAUCAGGAGGCUCGGAAUGCAGGUAAGGGCAAUGACUGAGUCAACCAACCAUGAGUACGGAGAGCGUGAAGCGACGCGUACAUGUUUGGCCUGCCCGACUGCUUUGGUUGGGGGUUUAUUCGUAAAUGGCUGUAAUAAUCUAUGAUUUUAUGAUUUCUCAAACUGUAACCUUAUUUCAAGAUGUGAUUAGUUUUCAAACCUUAUUUUGGGAUCCCAAAUGUUUAAUAAUAGAAGUUUUAA